AUCUAAGUACCCCGAGGAAAAGAAAUCAACCGAGAUUCCCCCAGUAGCGGCGAGCGAACGGGGAGGAGCCCAGAGCCUGAAUCAGCAUGUGUGUUAGUGGAAGCGUCUGGAAAGGCGCGCGAUACAGGGUGACAGCCCCGUACACAAAAGCGCAUGUGCUGUGAGCUCGAUGAGUAGGGCGGGACACGUGGUAUCCUGUCUGAAUAUGGGGGGACCAUCCUCCAAGGCUAAAUACUCCUGACUGACCGAUAGUGAACCAGUACCGUGAGGGAAAGGCGAAAAGAACCCCGGCGAGGGGAGUGAAAAAGAACCUGAAACCGUGUACGUACAAGCAGUGGGAGCACAGGUUUACCUGUGUGACUGCGUACCUUUUGUAUAAUGGGUCAGCGACUUAUAUUCUGUAGCAAGGUUAACCGUAUAGGGGAGCCGGAGGGAAACCGAGUCUUAACCGGGCGUUAAGUUGCAGGGUAUAGACCCGAAACCCGGUGAUCUAGCCAUGGGCAGGUUGAAGGUUGGGUAACACUAACUGGAGGACCGAACCGACUAAUGUUGAAAAAUUAGCGGAUGACCUGUGGCUGGGGGUGAAAGGCCAAUCAAACCGGGAGAUAGCUGGUUCUCCCCGAAAGCUAUUUAGGUAGCGCCUCGUGAAUUCAUCUCCGGGGGUAGAGCACUGUUUCGGCUAGGGGGCCAUCCCGGCUUACCAACCCGAUGCAAACUGCGAAUACCGGAGAAUGUUAUCACGGGAGACACACGGCGGGUGCUAACGUCCGUCGUGAAGAGGGAAACAACCCAGACCGCCAGCUAAGGUCCCAAAGUCAUGGUUAAGUGGGAAACGAUGUGGGAAGGCCCAGACAGCCAGGAUGUUGGCUUAGAAGCAGCCAUCAUUUAAAGAAAGCGUAAUAGCUCACUGGUCGAGUCGGCCUGCGCGGAAGAUGUAACGGGGCUAAACCAUGCACCGAAGCUGCGGCAGCGAACGUAUCACCCAAGACAACUUUACGGAGUUGACGAUUGACGGAGCGAAGCGACGUCAAAGCGUUCAUUAAAGUCGAGUUGGCUUAGGGAUACGUUCGUUGGGUAGGGGAGCGUUCUGUAAGCCUGUGAAGGUGGCCUGUGAGGGUUGCUGGAGGUAUCAGAAGUGCGAAUGCUGACAUAAGUAACGAUAAAGCGGGUGAAAAGCCCGCUCGCCGGAAGACCAAGGGUUCCUGUCCAACGUUAAUCGGGGCAGGGUGAGUCGACCCCUAAGGCGAGGCCGAAAGGCGUAGUCGAUGGGAAACGGGUUAAUAUUCCCGUACUUGGUGUUACUGCGAAGGGGGGACGGAGAAGGCUAUGUUGGCCGGGCGACGGUUGUCCCGGUUUAAGCGUGUAGGUGUGUGUUCCAGGUAAAUCCGGUUCACUUUAACACUGAGGCGUGAUGACGAGGCACUACGGUGCUGAAGCAACAAAUGCCCUGCUUCCAGGAAAAGCCUCUAAGCAUCAGGUAACAUCAAAUCGUACCCCAAACCGACACAGGUGGUCAGGUAGAGAAUACCAAGGCGCUUGAGAGAACUCGGGUGAAGGAACUAGGCAAAAUGGUGCCGUAACUUCGGGAGAAGGCACGCUGACAC
rnacentral:rRNA from 1 species